CUUACCUAUCACUCUUGCACUCAUUCUUCUCUCAAGCUUAUACCUAUGGCCUCCUAGGGGCUCCAUAGGGGCAACUGAUGGAGGAAAAAAGUCUGGGCCCGGUUCAUGGAUGGUUGUCUUCAUAUCUCGGGGCAAGCCCAAGAGAGACUCUUGCUGGAGUACAGCCUAGCUCAGAUAUGGCCCUGGAAUUCAUGGUGAGCGGAAAUCCUUCCCCACAGAGCUUCCUUGUCGUGUGGAGAGACAAGUAAGGAUCCAUGCGCACUCCUGAGCAGCAGCUGAGGGACGUCUGGUGCGUCAGGACUCUGGACGCAGCUCUCUGCACAGAGGUUUGGGGAAGAGGCGUGUGGAGGGAUCCAAAGUGUGGGGGAUCUUCGUGCCGUAGGCUGAUACUCACCGGAGAGCGUCCAUACAGAGGAGGCACAAAUGACCAUCAAAUAACAUGCCUCAUGCUGCCGAUGUCAGCCAGCCUCGGUCCUCAGACACCCCUGUGUUCAGGGCUGGUGAAUGGAACAGCUUUGGUGGCAGAGCCCGAGGCGACGUAUGGGCCCUGCGUAGAACCGCGAAUCUCACCAAGGCUGAUUUAGCUACUGCACUGACUGUUAGCAGCAGAAGCUAAUACCGGCCUCCAGGUCUGGUAAAACACCUACAAGAUUCCCAGAUCCCCUGACGAGGCCAAUUAGCCACUUGGUGGCAAGUUGAUUACAUUAGAACUCUCCACCUUGGAAGUAUGUAGUAGUGGUUUCUUCACGACCAGGACCGACAUAUCCGCCAGGAUGGAGACUCUAGCCCCUGUGAGGAUUUCUCCUCACCACUGAGCUGACCAAGGUAUGUGCAGUACACACCUUGGGACCAACAGCUGUGAUAUGUGCACCGUCCCUGGGAACCCAGGCAAGUAGUACAAAAGGAAAAUAUCUGCGUGUUUGAGAAAGAAAGGAGCUGGAAGCUACGUGUGGAAAAGUGAUCUUCUGCCCAGCGAGGCAAAACCCAGAGUCUGCAGGCGAGAAGUCCAAGGAAAGUUUCCAAAUGUAUUCAGCAGACCUUGCUAGAACAAAAAAGUAAUGCGAUGGA